rnacentral:tRNA from 1 species
AUUUAUUUAGUAUAAAAAGUAUAUUUGGCUUCCAACCAAAAGGUCUGGUACCCCAGAAUAAAUA